rnacentral:rRNA from 1 species
CCUUCGAUAGGUAGCUGGUCUGAGAGGAUGAUCAGCCACACUGGAACUGGAACACGGUCCAGACUCCCACGGGAGGCAGCAGUUGGGAAUAUUGGACAAUGGGCGCAAUGCCUGAUCCAGCAAUCCCGCGUGAGUGAUGAAGGCCUCCGGGUCGUAAAGCUCUUUUAGAGGGGAAGAAGGGGUAACCUUGACGGUACCCUCAGAAAAAGCACCGGCUAACUCUGUGCCAGCAGCCGCGGUAAUACAGAGGGUGCAAGCGUUGUUCGGAAUCAUUGGGCGUAAAGCGCGAGUAGGCGGCUUUUUAAGUCUGAUGUGAAAGCCCGGGGCUUAACCCCGGAAGUGCAUUGGAUACUGAAAAGCUAGAGGGUGUAAGAGGAGAGUGGAAUUCAUGGUGUAGGGGUGAAAUCCGUAGAUAUCAUGAGGAACAUCAGUGGCGAAGGCGGCUCUCUGGUACAUUUCUGACGCUCAGACGCGAAAGCAUGGGGAGCAAACAGGAUUAGAUACCCUGGUAGUCCAUGCCCUAAACGAUGAAUACUAGUUAUUGGGAUACCUAAUUGUCUCGGUGACGUAGCUAACGCAUUAAGUAUUCCGCCUGGGAAGUACGGUCGCAAGAUUAAAACUCAAAGGAAUUGACGGGGGCCCGCACAAGCGGUGGAGCAUGUGGUUUAAUUCGAUGCUACGCGAAAAACCUUACCUAGGCUUGACAUCCCACGCUACCCGGUGAAAGUCGGGGUCCUCUUCGGAGGCGUGGAGACAGGUGCUGCAUGGCUGUCGUCAGCUCGUGUUGUGAGAUGUUGGGUUAAGUCCCGCAACGAGCGCAACCCUCGUCACUAGUUACCAGCAUUAAGUUGGGCACUCUAGUGAGACCGCUGAGCUAUAAGCCAGAGGAAGGUGGGGAUGACGUCAAGUCCUCAUGGCCUUUAUGUCUAGGGCAACACACGUGCUACAAUGGGAGGCACAAUGCGUCGCAAGCGCGCGAGUGCAAGCUAAUCGCAAAAAACCUCUCUCAGUUCGGAUUGUAGUCUGCAACUCGACUACAUGAAGCUGGAAUCGCUAGUAAUCGUCGAUCAGCACGCGACGGUGAAUACGUUCCCGGGCCUUGUACACACCGCCCGUCACACCAUGGGAGUUGGACAUACCGGAAAACGCCGAGCUAACCGCAAGGAGGCAAGUGUUUAUGGUAUGGUCGAUGACUGGGGUGAAGUCGUAACAAGGUAACCGUACUAGUAC